CAGAGCACUGACGUGGUGUGGCUUGGAGGGACAAAUCAUUUUGUGUUCUCCACUGAUCUUUCAGCAAGACCUGUCCAUUCCUGCUCCUCUUCUCAGCACCUAGAGACAAGCCAACUUCUCUACUCUCUGGGAAGUUAAGGAUGUGCAGGAUUGCUCCAUUGGAUGGACCAGACGUGUGCAAUGAAGGAAAAUGCUACUACUGGGAUUGGUCUUGCAGACUGACAACACAAGAAUAUGCUUAAUUUGUGAACAGGAGCUGCUGUGCAGAUGGGCUGAGUUGGUGUCCUUGCUGCAGCAGAGCAGAAAGACUAAACAGAAAGUAAGUCCCAGAUCUGGGCUAUAGCUGAAGAGUGAGUAAAUCC
ensembl:lncRNA